CUCUCUCAAUGCCCCCCACACACACACUAUUGUAAAUCCUAAGAGACUGCAGGAUUCUUCUUCCUCUUUUCCCCAUCCCUUCCAGAGGCUUGGCUGGUUCUCUCUAUUAGUGCAACCUCCUUGGCUGGACGGGGAUGGCCCCCACUCUUUGUCCCCUUGUUAGAACAAACCUUUAGAGAGAGCUCUUCUACCCUUACAAGCGGCCCCUCAUGACGUAAUGUUUGUGGAGAUCAUCAGCUCGUUCAUACACAGCUCGUUUAGUGCACAUAGACAGUGAUGUCACAGUGUCACUGAGUAGUCAAAGUUGGGGAUCACAUUUCGAGAAGGAAGAGUGAAGAAGAGAAGGAUGAGGAGGAAGAGGAGGGGAAAGAAGAGGGUGAAAGAACUAGAUUGAAACAUUUCUCUGUUUUUAAAUAAAUAGAGAACUCUCACUCUCCUCCUCCUCCUGUUCUGAUUGGAAGUG
ensembl:lncRNA